AUUGAACGCUGGCGGCAGGCCUAACACAUGCAAGUCGAGCGGAGCGGCGGACGGGUGAGUAAUGCCUAGGAAUCUUCCAGGUACUGGGGGAUAACGUCCGGAAACUGGCGCUAAUACCUCAUACUAGCAGAUUAGCCUAGGUCGGAUUAGCUAGUUGGUGGGGUAAAGGCCUACCAAGGCGAGGAUCCGUAGCUGGUCUGAGAGGAUGAUCAGUCACACUGGGACUGAGACACGGUCCAGACUCCUACGGGAGGCAGCAGUAGGGAAUAUUGGGCAAUGGGCGAAAGCCUGACCGAGCAACGCCGCGUGAGUGAAGAAGGUUUUCGGAUUGUAAAGCACUUUAAUUAGGGAGGCGUUACCAACCGAAUAAGCAACGGCUAACUUCGUGCCAGCAGCCGCGGUAAUAC
rnacentral:rRNA from 1 species